rnacentral:tRNA from 1 species
ACCUGGGUGGCUCAAUGGGUGAAGCGUCAGACUCUUGAUCUCAGUUCAGGGCAUGAUCUCACGGUUUGGUUCGUGGGUUCAAGCCCCACCUUAGGCU